AGGACGAACGCUGGCGGCGUGCUUAACACAUGCAAGUCGAACGGUGAAGCCUUUCGGGGUGGAUCAGUGGCGAACGGGUGAGUAACACGUGGGCAAUCUGCCCUGCACUCUGGGACAAGCCCUGGAAACGGGGUCUAAUACCGGAUAUGACCUGCUCUCGCAUGGGAUGCAGGUGGAAAGCUCCGGCGGUGCAGGAUGAGCCCGCGGCCUAUCAGCUUGUUGGUGGGGUGAUGGCCUACCAAGGCGACGACGGGUAGCCGGCCUGAGAGGGCGACCGGCCACACUGGGACUGAGACACGGCCCAGACUCCUACGGGAGGCAGCAGUGGGGAAUAUUGCACAAUGGGCGAAAGCCUGAUGCAGCGACGCCGCGUGAGGGAUGACGGCCUUCGGGUUGUAACCUCUUCAGCAGGGAAGAGCGCAAGUGACGGUACCUGCAGAAGAAGCACCGGCUAACUACGUGCCAGCAGCCGCGGUAA
rnacentral:rRNA from 1 species